CACGUAGGCACCAAGCGUUGUCCGGAUUUAUUGGGCGUAAAGAGCUCGUAGGCGGUUGAGUAAGUCGGGUGUGAAAACUCUGGGCUUAACCCAGAGCCGCCACUCGAUACUGCUCUGACUUGAGUUCGGUAGGGGAGCAGGGAAUUCCUAGUGUAGCGGUGAAAUGCGUAGAGAUCAGGAAGAACACCGGUGGCGAAAGCGCUCUGCUGGACCUUAACUGACACUGAGGGACGAAAGCUAGGGGAGCGAAUGGG
rnacentral:rRNA from 1 species